GUCUCCUUCCCCUCAGAGAGCCCAGAUGGUCUCAGAGAUGUCUCAGACCCCGUUUCGUUCUGUAUCCUCUGUCCUGAUAUGAAAAGAAAAUGAUUCUGAUUACGGGAUUUAGCCUUUUGUUUUUCUGUGAGGGUGUGUUCUGUAACAGCGUGAACCAGCCAGGUUCCCCAGACAGGACAGUGAAGUGGGGCGAUAAGGUGGUACUGCCCUGCACUUAUGAAACUCAGUACACAAACCCAGAUUUAUUCUGGUACCGAAUGAGAGCAGAUCGUUCCUAUCAGUUUGUCCUUUACAGGGAUAACACCCGAUCCCGAGAUGCAGAUUUUACUCAAGGUCGGUUUUCUGUAGAGAACCAUAAUACCCAGCGUAUCUUCCACUUGGUGAUCUCCUCUGCGAGGCCUGAAGACAGUGCCACUUACUACUGUGCCUUGGCACUCGCACAGUGACACAGGUUCUCAGGAAGUCCCUGC